rnacentral:rRNA from 1 species
GAUGAACGCUGGCGGCGUGCCUAAUACAUGCAAGUCGAGCGAACGGACGAGAAGCUUGUUCUUUUGAUGUUAGCGGCGGGCGGGCGAGCAACACGUGGAUAACCUUCUUAUUAUACGGGGAUGAUUACGGAAAACAGGAUAUAAUACCGGCGAAUACGUUGAACGGCUUGGUGCAAAAGUGAAACACGGCUUGCCCGUCUCUAUGAGAUGGAUCCGCGCUGCCUUAGCGAGUUGGUAAGGUAACGGCUUACCAAGGAAACGAUGCAUAGCCGACCUGAGAGGGGGAUCGGCCACACUGGAACUGAGACACGGUCCAGACUCCUACGGGAGGCAGCAGUAGGGAAUCUUCCGCAAUAGGCGAAAGCCUGACGGAGCAACGCCGCGUGAGUGAUGAAGGUCUUCGGAUCGUAAAACUCUGUUUUUAGGGAAGAACAUAUGUGUAAGUAACUGUGCACAUCUUGACGGUACCUAAUCAGAAAGCCACGGCUAACUACGUG